GCAGGGAGGAAAUAGUAGCUCCAAGAAAAUGGGGAGAAGAGGCGUUAAGAAGGGCAGUAUCCUAUUUCCAUGUAGGGUUUUGAAAAACCCAGGAAUUGGAGGCCUCAUGCUGUUCCCUACAUUUCUAGAUUUCAGGUUGCAGCUGAUGGAAUUUAUUUCUUACUGCCCCAGACUCAUUGACAUAGAAACAGCAUUCUUCCUGGAGAAACAGACAAAGACCACCUUCUUUAGCUGUCAGGACAUCUAGUCCCUGUCAGUUCUGAAGCACAACUGCUGCCAAAGAAUCGAUCUUUUUCUGGAUUAUGAGCAUUGUUUCAUACAUUCCUUGGAAACCAUUGUCAAGCUGGGAUAAGAACUUCUUGUAUAGGGUUAGGGAAGUCGUCGGCCCUGCUGUUCCAGUGCCAGCACCUGUAGCUACUCUUGCAGCAACCAGUAAUGGCACAACCUGCAGUGCCCUCUUAUACUGGACAGGUAUAUGUCAAAAACUGGAAUUGGUAGAGAUUCUUUGCCAUGUAUUACUCCUAGUUCAGGGAAGGAACACCAGUGUGCAAACUCCUCCUGACCAGCUGGCAGGUAUGCUACAGGUACAAAGGAGGGUCAAAGUUGGUGACCUAAAUUUCCAAAUGUUGGUAUCAGGAACUGCUUUUGCCUCCAGCAAUGAUGAUGAUGUCAUCUGGUCACCUGAGCAUCUGUUGUCAAGGCAACGGUCAUCCAUUUCCAGCAUACAUUUCAUGUUACAGUUACACCACAUUUCACAUAA
rnacentral:sRNA from 1 species